rnacentral:rRNA from 1 species
CUGGCGGCAGGCCUAACACAUGCAAGUCGAGCGGUAGGAAGAGGUGCUUGCAUCUCUUGAGAGCGGCGGACGGGUGAGUAAUGUCUAGGAAUCUGCCUGGUAGUGGGGGACAACGUUUCGAAAGGAACGCUAAUACCGCAUACGUCCUACGGGAGAAAGCAGGGGACCUUCGGGCCUUGCGCUAUCAGAUGAGCCUAGGUCGGAUUAGCUAGUAGGUGAGGUAAUGGCUCACCUAGGCGACGAUCCGUAACUGGUCUGAGAGGAUGAUCAGUCACACUGGAACUGAGACACGGUCCAGACUCCUACGGGAGGCAGCAGUGGGGAAUAUUGGACAAUGGGCGAAAGCCUGAUCCAGCCAUGCCGCGUGUGUGAAGAAGGUCUUCGGAUUGUAAAGCACUUUAAGUUGGGAGGAAGGGCAGUAAGUUAAUACCUUGCUGUUUUGACGUUACCAACAGAAUAAGCACCGGCUAACUUCGUG